UGCGUAGGCGGUCGGGUAAGUCUGAUGUGAAAUCUCCAAGCUCAACUUGGAAAUGGCAUCGGAUACUAUUCGGCUCGAGGAAUGGAGGGGAGACUGGAAUACUUGGUGUAGCAGUGAAAUGCGUAGAUAUCAAGUGGAACACCAGUGGCGAAGGCGAGUCUCUGGACAUUUCCUGACGCUGAGGCAAGCCAGGGGAGCGAAACG
rnacentral:rRNA from 1 species